AACUCUUUCCUGAGGUUAUUUUCGUAGUAAUUCUUUGAAUCUCUCCCACGCCUUAUACAAGGACUCGUCAUCCAUUUGUUGGAAGGUAGUGAUCUCAUUCCACAACCU
rnacentral:snoRNA from 1 species